rnacentral:miRNA from 1 species
UUGAGUCGCGCCAAUAUCAUG